rnacentral:rRNA from 1 species
UACGUAGGGGGCAAGCGUUGUCCGGAUUUAUUGGGCGUAAAGAGCGUGUAGGUGGCUAGGGAGGUCCGUUGUGAAAACUCGAGGCUCAACCUCGAGACGUCGAUGGAAACCAUCUAGCUAGAGUCCGGAAGAGGAGAGUGGAAUUCCUGGUGUAGCGGUGAAAUGCGCAGAUAUCAGGAAGAACACCCGUGGCGAAGGCGGCUCUCUGGGACGGUACUGACGCUGAGACGCGAAAGCGUGGGGAGCGAACAGG